GACGAACGCUGGCGGCGUGCCUAAUACAUGCAAGUCGAGCGGGCUAGCGCUUUCUUCGGAAAGCGUAGGCUAGCGGCGGACGGGUGAGUAACACGUAGGUAACCUGCCUGUAAGACUGGGAUAACAUUCGGAAACGAAUGCUAAUACCGGAUACGCAAUUUGGUCGCAUGACCAGAUUGGGAAAGACGGAGCAAUCUGUCACUUACAGAUGGACCUGCGGCGCAUUAGCUAGUUGGUGGGGUAACGGCUCACCAAGGCGACGAUGCGUAGCCGACCUGAGAGGGUGAUCGGCCACACUGGGACUGAGACACGGCCUAGACUCCUACGGGAGGCAGCAGUAGGGAAUCUUCCGCAAUGGACGAAAGUCUGACGGAGCAACGCCGCGUGAGUGAUGAAGGUUUUCGGAUCGUAAAGCUCUGUUGCCAGGGAAGAACGCUGGGGAGAGUAACUGCUCUCAAGGUGACGGUACCUGAGAAGAAAGCCCCGGCUAACU
rnacentral:rRNA from 1 species